GGUCCUCACGGUUUUAAAGUUACGGCGUUCCGUACGUAUUAGCGUCUUUGGAAUCGAAAAUAAUAAAGAAUAAACUACAACAUAGCAUUUCCGAGGACGCAUCCAUCUUAAUACGAUUACUUUUUAGUUUUUUCAACAAAAAAAAAAACAAACGAAUAACCUCAAUAGAGCAACAAGUUGAAUUAUAUUGGUACUAGUUGUUUAAACCAAAAAUGAAAAGUUAAAAGAAAAAAAAAACAAAAAAGGGAUGCAACACGAGGACUUCCCGGGUGGUCACCCAUCCUAGUACUACUCUCGCCCAAGCACGCUUAACUGCGGAGUUCUGAUGGGAUCCGGUGCAUUAGUGCUGGUAUGAUCGCAUCCGUUAGUACAUUGCAUACAAUCGCAUAUAUCCUUUACCGAGGAUUCAAGAGAUCAUUUGUAGUGGGUCCCACUUUGAUACGUGGACCGCUUUAGCCAGCUUCAACGUGCUCUUUUAUUUGGAAAAGACGCAUAAAUCAUGUCCGAACACUUUUUCGAUCAUUUAAUCUCUUACAAAUCACAAAAACCUCAUGGAAACACACUAAACGUCAAAAUUUGGGGUCGAACACAGGGCCCAAUGGUACGAAGACCCAUUGCCACAUUGUAACUUUUCGAGAGCUUUCCGAAAAGGUAUUAUCGCCUGAAUAGGUCCUCACGGUUUUAAAGUUACGGCGUUCCGUACGUAUUAGCGUCUUUGGAAUCGAAAAUAAUAAAGAAUAAACUACAACAUAGCAUUUCCGAGGACGCAUCCAUCUUAAUACGAUUACUUUUUAGUUUUUUCAACAAAAAAAAACAAACGAACAACCUCAAUAGAGCAACAAGUUGAAUUAUAUUGGUACUAGUUGUUUAAACCAAAAAUGAAAAGUUAAAAGAAAAAAAAAAAACAAAGGGAUGCAACACGAGGACUUCCCGGGAGCUCACCCAUCCUAGUACUACUCUCGCCCAAGCACGCUUAACUGCGGAGUUCUGAUGGGAUCCGGUGCAUUAGUGCUGGUAUGAUCGCAUCCGUUAGUACAUUGCAUACAAUCGCAUAUAUCCUUUACCGAGGAUUCAAGAGAUCAUUUGUAGUGGGUCCCACUUGAUACGUGGACCGCUUUAGCCAGCUUCAACGUGCUCUUUUAUUUGGAAAAGACGCAUAAAUCAUGUCCGAACACUUUUUCGAUCAUUUAAUCUCUUACAAAUCACAAAAACCUCAUGGAAACACACUAAACGUCAAAAUUUGGGGUCGAACACAGGGCCCAAUGGUACGAAGACCCAUUGCCACAUUGUAACUUUUCGAGAGCUUUCCGAAAAGGUAUUAUCGCCUGAAUAGGUCCUCACGGUUUUAAAGUUACGGCGUUCCGUACGUAUUAGCGUCUUUGGAAUCGAAAAUAAUAAAGAAUAAACUACAACAUAGCAUUUCCGAGGACGCAUCCAUCUUAAUACGAUUACUUUUUAGUUUUUUCAACAAAAAAAAGAGAAACGAACAACCUCAAUAGAGCAACAAGUUGAAUUAUAUUGGUACUAGUUGUUUAAACCAAAAAUGAAAAGUUAAAAGAAAAAAAAAAAAAAAAAAGGGAUGCAACACGAGGACUUCCCGGGAGGUCACCCAUCCUAGUACUACUCUCGCCCAAGCACGCUUAACUGCGGAGUUCUGAUGGGAUCCGGUGCAUUAGUGCUGGUAUGAUCGCAUCCGUUAGUACAUUGCAUACAAUCGCAUAUAUCCUUUACCGAGGAUUCAAGAGAUCAUUUGUAGUGGGUCCCACUUGAUACGUGGACCGCUUUAGCCAGCUUCAACGUGCUCUUUUAUUUGGAAAAGACGCAUAAAUCAUGUCCGAACACUUUUUCGAUCAUUUAAUCUCUUACAAAUCACAAAAACCUCAUGGAAACACACUAAACGUCAAAAUUUGGGGUCGAACACAGGGCCCAAUGGAACGAAGACCCAUUGCCACACUAUAACUUUCCGAGAGCUUUCCAAAAAGGUAUUAUCGGCCGAAUAGGUCCUCACGGUUUUAAAGUUACGGCGUUCCGUACGUAUUAGCGUCUUUGGAAUCGAAAAUAAUAAAGAAUAAACUACAACAUAGCAUUUCCGAGGACGCAUCCAUCUUAAUACGAUUACUUUUUAGUUUUUUCAACAAAAAAAAGAGAAACGAACAACCUCAAUAGAGCAACAAGUUGAAUUAUAUUGGUACUAGUUGUUUAAACCAAAAAUGAAAAGUUAAAAGAAAAAAAAAAAAAAAAAAGGGAUGCAACACGAGGACUUCCCGGGAGGUCACCCAUACUAGUACUACUCUCGCCCAAGCACGCUUAACUGCGGAGUUCUGAUGGGAUCCGGUGCAUUAGUGCUGGUAUGAUCGCAUCCGUUAGUACAUUGCAUACAAUCGCAUAUAUCCUUUACCGAGGAUUCAAGAGAUCAUUUGUAGUGGGUCCCACUUGAUACGUGGACCGCUUUAGCCAGCUUCAACGUGCUCUUUUAUUUGGAAAGGACGCAUAAAUCAUGUCCGAACACUUUUUCGAUCAUUUAAUCUCUUACAAAUCACAAAAACCUCAUGGAAACACACUAAACGUCAAAAUUUGGGGUCGAACACAGGGCCCAAUGGUACGAAGACCCAUUGCCACACUAUAACUUUCCGAGAGCUUUCCAAAAAGGUAUUAUCGCCUGAAUAGGUCCUCACGGUUUUAAAGUUACGGCGUUCCGUACGUAUUAGCGUCUUUGGAAUCGAAAAUAAUAAAGAAUAAACUACAACAUAGCAUUUCCGAGACGCAUCCAUCUUAUACGAUUACGUUUUAGUUUUUUCACGAAAAAAGAGAAACGAACAACCUCAAUAGAGCAACAAGUUGAAUUAUAUUGGUACUAGUUGUUUAAACCAAAAAUGAAAAGUUAAAAGAAAAAAAAAAAAAAAAAAGGGAUGCAACACGAGGACUUCCCGGGAAGUCACCCAUCCUAGUACUACUCUCGCCCAAGCGCGCUUAACUGCGGAGUUCUGAUGGGAUCCGGUGCAUUAGUGCUGGUAUGAUCGCAUCCGUUAGUACAUUGCAUACAAUCGCAUAUAUCCUUUACCGAGGAUUCAAGAGAUCAUUUGUAGUGGGUCCCACUUGAUACGUGGACCGCUUUAGCCAGCUUCAACGUGCUCUUUUAUUUGGAAAAGACGCAUAAAUCAUGUCCGAACACUUUUUCGAUCAUUUAAUCUCUUACAAAUCACAAAAACCUCAUGGAAACACACUAAACGUCAAAAUUUGGGGUCGAACACAGGGCCCAAUGGUACGAAAACCCAUUGCCACAUUGUAACUUUUCGAGAGCUUUCCGAAAAGGUAUUAUCGCCUGAAUAGGUCCUCACGGUUUUAAAGUUACGGCGUUCCGUACGUAUUAGCGUCUUUGGAAUCGAAAAUAAUAAAGAAUAAACUACAACAUAGCAUUUCCGAGGACGCAUCCAUCUUAAUACGAUUACUUUUUAGUUUUUUCAACAAAAAAAAGAGAAACGAACAACCUCAAUAGAGCAACAAGUUGAAUUAUAUUGGUACUAGUUGUUUAAACCAAAAAUGAAAAGUUAAAAGAAAAAAAAAAAAAAAAAAGGGAUGCAACACGAGGACUUCCCGGGAGGUCACCCAUCCUAGUACUACUCUCGCCCAAGCACGCUUAACUGCGGAGUUCUGAUGGGAUCCGGUGCAUUAGUGCUGGUAUGAUCGCAUCCGUUAGUACAUUGCAUACAAUCGCAUAUAUCCUUUACCGAGGAUUCAAGAGAUCAUUUGUAGUGGGUCCCACUUGAUACGUGGACCGCUUUAGCCAGCUUCAACGUGCUCUUUUAUUUGGAAAAGACGCAUAAAUCAUGUCCGAACACUUUUUCGAUCAUUUAAUCUCUUACAAAUCACAAAAACCUCAUGGAAACACACUAAACGUCAAAAUUUGGGGUCGAACACAGGGCCCAAUGGUACGAAGACCCAUUGCCACAUUGUAACUUUUCGAGAGCUUUCCGAAAAGGUAUUAUCGCCUGAAUAGGUCCUCACGGUUUUAAAGUUACGGCGUUCCGUACGUAUUAGCGUCUUUGGAAUCGAAAAUAAUAAAGAAUAAACUACAACAUAGCAUUUCCGAGGACGCAUCCAUCUUAAUACGAUUACUUUUUAGUUUUUUCAACAAAAAAAGAGAAACGAACAACCCUCAAUAGAGCAACAAGUUUGAAUUAUAUUGGUACUAGUUGUUUAAACCAAAAAUGAAAAGUUAAAAGAAAAAAAAAAAAAAAAAAAGGGGAUGCAACACGAGGACUUCCCGGGAGGUCACCCAUCCUAGUACUACUCUCGCCCAAGCACGCUUAACUGCGGAGUUCUGAUGGGAUCCGGUGCAAUAGUGCUGGUAUGAUCGCAUCCGUUAGUAC
rnacentral:lncRNA from 1 species